CACGGAGUUAGCCGAUGCUUUUUCUUCGGAUACACGCAGUCCGGGACACGUCCCGGGUUUUGUUCUCCGACAAAAGAGGUUUACAACCCAUAGGGCCGUCUUCCCUCACGCGGCUUGGCUGGUUCAGGAUCUCUCCCAUUGACCAAUAUUCCUCACUGCUGCCUCUCGUAGGAGUCUGGUCCGUGUCUCAGUACCAGUGUGGGGGACCUUCCUCUCAGAACCCCUACGCAUCGUCGCCACGGUGGGCCGUUACCCCGCCGUCAAGCUAAUGCGCCGCAUGCCCAUCCUCUUCCGAUGAAUCUUUCCUCGAUCUCGGAUGCCCGAAACCGAUAUACGCGGGAUUAGCCUCCCUUUCGGAAGGUUGUCCCCCUGAAGAGGGCAGGUUGCAUACGUGUUACUCACCCGUGCGCCGGUCGCCGGCAAGGAAAGCAAGCUUCCCUCCCGAUGCCCCUCGACUUGCAUGUGUUAAGCCUGCCGCUAGCGUUCAUCCUGAGCCAGGAUCAAACUCU
rnacentral:rRNA from 1 species